AGGUGCUUUGGUCGGCCCAGCCCCCAGCAAUCCCAUUGUGACGCAAGAUAUCAAUAUCUGCUCUCCCAUCACUUCUAGAGUUCUUUGCAGGUAAAUGCUUUAAAAUAGUUCUUCUUAUUGGGUAUGAUUACGCUGCGUUAGUGGCGUAAGCUAGAAUCUGGACUUUUAAAAUGUCUAAUCAUGCCGAACUUUUAUAGUAGAUUAUGGU
rnacentral:misc_RNA from 1 species